rnacentral:rRNA from 1 species
AUGUCAUUAUCAAGUUUGUGUGGCCUGUGUGGGGAUGAAGACUCUUGGCGUCAUUCAAUACUUGAGUGCUCAAUGGCAAGAUGUUUGUGGACCCUGGUGGAUGGAGAACUCGCAGAACAUCUUUGCGAGACUACCGAACCGAGUGCCAAGCAACGGAUCUUUUUGAUGAUAGACACGUUAUCGCAUGCGGCGUUUGUUAAGGUAGAUGUGACGCUGUGGGCAGUAUGGUGGGCCAGAAGGAAAAUUCCCAGUGUCCCGAAUCGGCAGGCAAGUCGAACUACCCGACCAAAAGCUCCUCCACCCGGUUACUCAAAGAUCCAUGUUGAUGCUGGAUUAGCAAGGGGGCAAACCAGAGGUUCAGCAGCUGCAGUGCGUAGGGAUGAUCACGGAAAUUUUUUGGGCAGCUCGGCACUGGUCGUUUAUGGUAUAAUGAACGUUGCUACUCUGGAAUCAGUUGCAUGUAGGGAGGCACUAUCUUUGGCUGAAGACUUACAGAAACUUUAUCAUAGCUUCGGAUUCUAA